AUUCAGCAACACAAAAUGCUUCAGCAUAUGAACAAAUGAACACUCUCGUUUCACUAUUUUCACGUGUUCUCAAGCUAUCACGUUCAUAUAUCCAAUGCUCAUAACAAAACAAGCUAUCACGUGUUCUCAAGCUAUCACGUUCGUAAAUCCGAAAUUGAAGCUCCAUCAAUGUCACUGCAGCCUUGUUCAUCUUGAUUUCAACAUCACCUUCAAUGAAUCGGAAGGUGCAACAUCCAGAACCAGAAUCGAAACACAUUCGAUUCACAUUGCCGCAGUGAAUUGAGAAGAGAACAAGGAUCUCGUGGAUUCCGCUACACAAUUGAUUGAAGAAGGAGACAAAAGAGUGACUUACCGAUGCGGUGGAUUUCCGGUGUUAAUAGGUAUCGAAUCUUCUUUGCUUUGCUUCACUUCAAUCCAAUAUUUCUGUUCCUCCUCUUGUUUAUGACUUCUGUUGCAUUGAAUCGGGAGUGAGAGUUGAAGAACAAGAGUGAAGAGUUUCUGAGUUUUGAUUCGUGAUUGCUGAGUUGUAAUUGCUCUCUCUAUGAGUGGUUUUGCAUUUGGCAUGGACACUUGAAGAUAAAGGCUUGGAGAUCAAGAUGACUUAAGGACUUUAGGGGAAAUGGUUAACUUUGGUCAACGGUUGACCAAAGUCAAUUAUAGGUUAGAAACUAGAGUUUUGUAUUGUUUGAUGUAAGGACUUUUGUAAAUGACUUGUAAUGUAAAUAAGUUUUUUGAAUGAAUAUGACAUGAUUUAUAUAAACAUGACUUUCACCU